AGCAGCCGCGGUAAUUCCAGCUCCAAUAGCGUAUAUUAAAGUUGUUGCAGUUAAAAAGCUCGUAGUUGAAUUUCGGGAUUGACGUGAUGGUCAUGCCUUAAGGGGUACGAACUGUUACUGUUGAUUUCUCACCUUCUGGAGAAACUUGAUGUCCUUUAUUGGGUGUCUUGCGGAUCCAGGACCUUUACCUUGAAAAAUUAGAGUGUUUAAAGCAGGCAUUUUUGCUCGAAUACAUUAGCAUGGAAUAAUAGAAUAGGACGGCAUGGUUCUAUUUUGUUGGUUUCUAGGAUCACCGUAAUGAUUAAUAGGGAUAGUUGGGGGCAUUAGUAUUCAAUUGUCAGAGGUGAAAUUCUUGGAUUUAUUGAAGACUAACUACUGCGAAAGCAUUUGCCAAGGAUGUUUUCAUUAAUCAAGAACGAAAGUUAGGGGAUCGAAGACGAUCAGAUACCG
rnacentral:rRNA from 1 species